rnacentral:rRNA from 1 species
GAGGAAUAUUGGGCAAUGGGCGCAAGCCUGACCCAGCAACGCCGCGUGGAGGAUGAAUGUCGUAAGAUUGUAAACUCCUUUUGAAGGGGACGAAAAAAUAGGUUUGUAGCCUAUAUUGACUGUACCCUUAGAAGAAGCCCCGGCUAACUACGUGCCAGCAGCCGCGGUAAUACGUAGGGGGCAAGCGUUGUCCGGAUUCACUGGGUGUAAAGGGCGCGUAGGCGGGUUUGUAAGUCAGUGGUGAAAUCCUACAGCUUAACUGUAGAACUGCCUCUGAUACUGCAAGCCUUGAGUAUGGAAGAGAGAGACGGAAUUCCAGGUGUAGUGGUGAAAUACGUAGAUAUCUGGAAGAACACCAGUGGCGAAGGCGGUCUCUUGGUCCAUUACUGACGCUGAGGCGCGAAAGCGUGGGGAGCAAAC